UGGGCCCAGUAGCCUUGUCGCACCUGCCGGCAGGGACAAAGGCGCACUACGGGUCGGAAACUCCCCGCGCUCCUCUUUCCCGCUCGUCGCGGGGCAGCUUCAAAGCUGUCAACGUUUCCCUCAGUCCCCAAUACCAGUGACAGCUUGCCAACACUUGGUGUCACAUGUGAGCCUCCCACAUGUAUUCACUCUCCAUUCCAGCUCUGUGAUUGAACUCUGCUCUUAUUGACUAGGGGGCAGUUGGGCAGGCAUGCCUCAUUCCUGGAAUUGACAGUCAUUCCUAAUUUUUGAAUAUACUAACACUGAAUCAGCACUUCUAAAGCCCUUCCUUCUCCCACUGGCUUCACUUGGCUUUCAGACAUAAUGAGGAGACUGGCUUUUCGAGGCGCUGGUUGUGCUCUGAAGAAGUUGGAUUCCAUGGGUUCCAAGAGAAGAAGAGCUACCUCCCCUUCCAGCAGUGUCAGCGGGGACUUUGAUGAUGGGCACCAUUCUGUGUCAACACCAGGCCCAAGCAGGAAAAGGAGGAGACUUUCCAAUCUUCCAACUG
rnacentral:lncRNA from 1 species